rnacentral:rRNA from 1 species
AUCCGGAUUUAUUGGGUUUAAAGGGUGCGUAGGCGGUCCUAUAAGUCAGUGGUGAAAGACGGCAGCUUAACUGUCGCAGUGCCUUUGAUACUGUAGGACUUGAAUCUAUUUGAAGUGGGCGGAAUAAGACAAGUAGCGGUGAAAUGCAUAGAUAUGUCUUAGAACUCCGAUUGCGAAGGCAGCUCACUAAGUUAGUAUUGACGCUGAUGCACGAAAGCGUGGGGAUCAAACAGGAUUAGAUACCCUGGUAGUCCACGCCCUAAACGAUGAUAACUCGAUGUUUGCGAUACACAGUAAGCGUCCAAGCGAAAGCGUUAAGUUAUCCACCUGGGGAGUACGGUCGCAAGAUUGAAACUCAAAGGAAUUGACGGGGGCCCGCACAAGCGGAGGAGCAUGUGGUUUAAUUCGAUGAUACGCGAGGAACCUUACCCGGGCUUGAAAGUUAGUGAAUGAUCCAGAGACGGAUCAGUCCUUCGGGACACGAAACUAGGUGCUGCAUGGCUGUCGUCAGCUCGUGCCGUGAGGUGUUGGGUUAAGUCCCGCAACGAGCGCAACCCCUAUGUUUAGUUGCCAGCACAUAAUGGUGGGGACUCUAAACAGACUGCCAGCGUAAGCUGUGAGGAAGGUGGGGACGACGUCAAGUCAUCAUGGCCCUUACGUCCGGGGCUACACACGUGCUACAAUGGACGGUACAGCGGGCAGCUACAUAGCAAUAUGAUGCUAAUCUCUAAAAGCCGUUCACAGUUCGGAUUGAGGUCUGCAACUCGACCUCAUGAAGUUGGAUUCGCUAGUAAUCGCGUAUCAGCAAUGACGCGGUGAAUACGUUCCCGGGCCUUGUACACACCGCCCGUCAAGCCAUGAAAGUUGGGGGUACCUAAAGCAUGUAACCGCAAGGAGCGUGUUAGGGUAAAACCGAUAAUUGGGGCUAAGUCGUAACAAGGUAGCCGUACCGGAAGGUGCGGCUGGAUCACAACAA